AGGAAGAUUAAUACCGCAUAAGAUUGUAGUAUCGCAUGAUAUAGCAAUUAAAGGAGCAAUUCGCUAUAAGAUGGACCCGCGUCGCAUUAGCUAGUUGGUGAGGUAAUGGCUCACCAAGGCGACGAUGCGUAGCCGACCUGAGAGGGUGAUCGGCCACAUUGGGACUGAGACACGGCCCAGACUCCUACGGGAGGCAGCAUG
rnacentral:rRNA from 1 species